rnacentral:lncRNA from 1 species
GCCAGGAGGACGCUGGGAUGAUGCUGAUGCUGAGAAGGAGGAGGAGGACGAUGCUCUGUUUACAUGGAGCAGGAGCCCCAGUGUGUCGGACCCUGCUGGUGGUGGUAAAGUGCCGCAGUUCGUGGCGAAGACGCCUGCCGCUGCCGUGGUUCGUCCUCCGGGUUGAGGGACGAAUCCGAGGAACCGAGGACGGAGGACCCCAAUGGUACCGGCCCUCGGCGAUGCGCAGCCUGGAACUUUCUUACCGUGCUCCCGUGUCGGAAAACUGA